CGGUAUCUCUUGCAACUGGGAAAUUUGAGUGUGGGAAGGGGAAAGGAGUAGGGACAUCCAUCCUCCAAUGAACUCUCCACCCUCUUUGGCAAGCACUUUUGGUUCCCAAAUUCCAGCUGCAAACUAAGCGCACAGUUUCUGUUCCUUCUUUGUUGUUAAGCAGUGCGCCAGUGGUUGAGACAUUGAAACUUUUUUAGACUGUCCACAGGACUUUACAGUGGGAUAAGUUCUGUUAAGCUUUGUUAAUUCAUUGUGACACUUACUCAUUGCCGAUAUCAUCAGCACAAUUGCCAGGCAGAUCUCCCACUGGGGAGAAGUCUCUUCCUUCCUAAUAUAGCUGCUGCAGGGGUAGAAGAUCUGGCCGACCAGUUUACAUCUACAUACGAGACAUGCAGAGAAACAGUUGCAAAAUGUCUAUCUUCCCUCAACAAGUGAGAAGAGGAGCUCUAAGCAUUAAAGAGUUUUGCAGGAGGAAGAACUCUUGGUGAUCCAAAAUUGCUGGAUAAAGCCCUUUGGACUCUCUUCUAACUCACAAACUCAUGAGAAAGAUCCAAUCUGUACCCUACCUGCCUGCGUGCUGGCUCUUUUCCUGUGGCCUCAAGAGGUUUUGCAGAUACUGAGGCUGCAAUCAGUCACUUACAAAGAAAGCACAGUCUCAGGCAUGAGCCAGAUUCCCAGAGAAGGCAACAUCCUUCAAGGCCUGUAUUAUCACAGGAAGCAACCAUCAACAUUGUCCAGAGAUUUCGAUAAAAAGCCCAUGCUUCUGCACAAAGAUUGUCUCAUGAAUCAGAGGAUCAUGUCCUUUGCAUGUAUGAUAUGGUUCUUAGAACAGUUAUAUAGCAAAAAGAAAACAGGAUUUGACUAUAGGGAUAAGAAGAAAAAAAGACAAUGAGGAGAGGAACCACACAUCAUGAGAUGCCCAACUGGACCUUCCUUUAAGGAGAUUGAGAGCUAUUCUAAGAGCUAUUUACAGACCUCUACUCUGGUUUUCUUAAUAAAGACACUGACCACCUUGCUUUCCAGUUCCUGCCCAGUUUGGGAUUAUUAAAUCACAAAAGUAUGUCCUUCUCCUGCUGGUAGCCACAGCGGUCGGCUCUUCUCCUGGUCACUUCCCUGCCUCAAGCUGCUGCUCUAGUGGCUGCUCUAGCCAGCUGUCCUACUCCUGCUCCUGCCUCUUGCUAUAGCAGCCCCAGUACUGCUGCCUCAUCUGGAUGACAGUUGUCACUCUGCUAUCAAUGUCUCCCACUUCAGCAAAGAGUAUGUGGCUGUGCAUGUGCACGUUUGUACUCAAGUACACUCCUGCUUUUUCAACUUGGAUUCUCAUCUAGCAGUAGCCCCUUAAAGUCUGCUAUGCAUUUUCUUUUGACUUCUGUGCUUUACUUCUGUAAAACCUACUGAGAUCUUUUACUAUCAGCAUUCUUAACUCAAGCACUUAAUCCAUACCAUUACAUGGUUAUCUGUUUCCUCCAUUAUGUGGAUGGUUACUCUACUCUACUCAAGUAGAAAGCCUUCUGAAUGAAUAAACGCUUACGUGCAAAUUAAACUUGUACUUCUGUACCUUGUUCCUUUCUACCUGUCUUAUUCUCUCCACCAAAUAUCAAUGGAGAGCUCUUCAUCUCAGAACUUCCAUCUCCCACACAGGAGCCAGGGAGCUGCUCUCUCAAUCACGUCCUGGUGCCAAAGCCCAUAUCUGUUUGACAGAACAAAAAGUGGUCUUGUCAUAUGCUAGGGAUGUAUUCUCUGUUCUCUUCAGUACACUGCUAAUUGUUAAAAACCUUGAAGAAAAUUGUAAUAAUUCAGAUGUAAGUUUUGCUCAUAUUACUGUUCUCAGAGAGAGCAAAAAAGUAAAAUUUCAAGGGAAAGGGGUGUUUGGGAUAAAAAACUGCGAUUUUCAAGACCCAUGUUUCUGAAAAAUGUAUUUCUUCUGUCAGAGUUCUAGGACUUAAGAUGAAAGAUCGUUACUAACUAGGAUAAGUGCCUUUUUAUAUAAAGAAAUGUUUUUAGAGUAACUAGAAGAUAACAGCAAAAAUAAAACAGGAGUGUACCUAUUGACUUAAGUUGUAUAGCUUGCUCAUGGGAAAGGGCUCCUUUAGUCUGUGAAACCUACAUUUCAUGUUUCUAUAGCAGAAUCAGAGGACAGAAAAGAAGAAACUAGGAGCAGCAGAAGAGUCAAGAAUCCUACAGUCACAUCUUGGGUUGAAAGGGACCUUAAAACCCAUCUAGUUCCAACCCAUUGCUAUGGGCAGGGUUGCCUCCCUCUAGAUCAGGUUGCCCAGGGUCUAGUUCAAUCUGGCCUUGAGCACCUCCAAGGAUGAGGCAUCCUCAGCUUCUCUGGGUAGCCUGUGCCAGUGCCUCACCACCCUUACCACGAAGGAUUUCUUCCUUAUAUCUAAUCUAAAUAUACCCUUUCAGUGUAAAACCAUUACCCCUUGUCCUAUCACUACAUCAUGGUUGUCAGGGUAUUCAUAAUUGUGGAAAAGCCUCUUCCUGAAUUAAUUUCUCCAUAUGCUCCAUCCACAAUAUACAGGAAGGCGCUUGAUUUAAGCUUUGGGAAGGGAGGCUGGUAUGCCAGUGCUAGGGGUGAAAUAAAGCAUGGUGUACAGGAUCAACACUACCCCUGUCUGGUUCUUCUUAAAAAGUCUAUAUUUAUCCUAGCUUCUCUCAAUUUUACCAAGUUCAUUGGCUCCUAUAAAAUGCUGAGUCUGCAAGAGACACUGUCAAGUUCCAGUUACUUUUAUAGUCUGAGGUGAGUUUGGUUGUUAUUUGUUAUUAGUUUUUGUUUUUGUUUUUAAUUUGUAGGCCUUUUCUCAUUAACCUUCUUGUUUUUCAUUGCACAAUUUAGAUGGGGGUUUCCACUGAGAGAGUAUACGAAGAUGAAAGAGGAAGAAUUGCUAUGGGAAGAGGUUUUAUUAAAAAUACAGCUGAAGGUUUUUUCAUCAUAUCUUUGAGUAAACAUUAGUGGGAUAGUGACAGAAGAUGUGUCACUGGAUUUAUUUACUGUAAGACAGUUCUGCCGAGUAAAGUACCAUAUGAAAGCAGCAUGUGUUUUUUUAAUAUAAUGUAAAGAGUAACUUAUUACAGUGACUUUAUUUUCUUCUUGUUUGAUGGAUUGUUGCCAUUUAUUACCACCGAGUAAUGAAACCUAUACUGUGUUUUACACGACAGUAGAAUGUCUUGGGCAGCAUUAAUCAGCCUCACGAAGUGUUCAAGAGAAAUAAUGAAAGAAAGAACUGGCAUGCAAGGCAAGUGCCUUCCAGUUUGUCUCCUGCAACCUUCCUUCCUCUGAAACAUUCAUCAUCUUCCUCUUAGUUUGCCAGGAUCUAAAAUCAGGCAGAUAUUUUCUUAUUAAUAUUGAGGCAGGGCACUGAGAGCUGCCAUCACAUCUUUCUUUAGCUGAGAGAAAAUUACCUCAGCUUAAGCUCAACUACCUCCUGCUAUUUGUAAGUCUAGGGCUUCACAAGCUGCGUUACUUGGCUUGUAUGCUAUGUGCACCUUGAUGAUUCUCCAUGUUUUAUCAUAACUGAUUGUAUACAUAUUCUUAAAGCACGAGAGAGUCUGCAGGCUGGGAUAGAAUCUCAGUCCCAAAUGGAUCAGAAUCUAGGAGGUAAGAGGUGUGCUAUUGUAUCUAAAGGGAUAAGAGACAGCCAAGAAAUACAAGAUACAAAAACAAGGCUACCAAGGAGCUGAGUUCAUGGAGCAAUGAAUGUAUUUACUGAGGACUUCACAUCCUUUUGGAUAGAAUAUCCGGGGACUGGUUGUCAGCAUACAAGAUGAAUCAAAAUGUGAAUCCUUUCAAGAGUUUGCAUAGAAACCAUGGAAUCUAAUGAGUCAGAAAUAGAGAUGCUCAAGGCACUCGAUUUUGUACUGUCAGAUCUUUUCUUUCUCAGAACUCUCAAGAGUUUUUGUUAUCUAUCAGUUCAACAUAAGGAACGUUUUUACUGCUAAGGAACAGGUAAAGCAAUUUGCUGGCAGAGGCUUUGCCUCUUGUUCUGUCCAGAUAAUGCCAGGGCAUAGAUCACUCUGAGCAAUUACAAUCAUCAGUAACAGAAUUUAGAAAUCACACUUUUGCUGUUAAACACUUGCCAUUACAUUAUAUGACUUCUACAAUGCAGAUCUUUCAUUUGGUACAACAUCAACAUCUUCCUCCUUAGCUAUGACUCCUGCCCUUUCCUCGUCAGUCUGGUUCACCAAAUUGCUAGUUGAUGAACAAAUACUCUGUGCAUGACAACAGAAGGUUAUGCCUUACUGUGUGUUCAUUACAGCCCUUAACCAGUAGCUGAAAGCGUAGUAAAAAAGAUAUCAAGAAAUUUUGUUUUCUGACGGACAUUUUUAUUUUGAUGGGGGGUG
ensembl:lncRNA